rnacentral:rRNA from 1 species
GAUGAACGCUAGCGGCAGGCUUAAUACAUGCAAGUCGAGGGGCAGCGCGGGUAGCAAUACCUGGCGGCGACCGGCGCACGGGUGCGUAACGCGUAUGUAAUCUACCAUUAACCGGGGAAUAGCCCAGAGAAAUCUGGAUUAAUGCCCCAUAGCAUUAUUGGAAGGCAUCUUUUGAUAAUUAAAGAAUUUCGGUUUUUGAUGAACAUGCGUGUCAUUAGUUUGUUGGCGAGGUAACGGCUCACCAAGACUACGAUGACUAGGGGGUCUGAGAGGAUGAUCCCCCACACUGGUACUGAGACACGGACCAGACUCCUACGGGAGGCAGCAGUAAGGAAUAUUGGGCAAUGGAGGCAACUCUGACCCAGCCAUGCCGCGUGAAGGAUUGACGGCCCUCUGGGUUGUAAACUUCUUUUGUACGGGAAUAACCCUCCGAACGUGUUCGGAGCUGAAGGUACCGUAAGAAUAAGGAUCGGCUAACUCCGUG